rnacentral:tRNA from 1 species
GCCCGGGUGGCGGAAAGGCAUACGCGCGACACUUAAAAUGUCGUGAGUUUCGACUCAUGUGGGUUCGAGUCCCACCCCGGGCA